UUCUAUUAUUGCAAGUUGACCAUAUCAAGUGUAUACUAUCUAUUCUUAUCAGUUUAAUCCUGAUACGUGGAUCAAUGGUUCACACGAUAUAAAUUAAUUUUUUGAAGGGGUAAGUCCACCACAAUAGCUUGCUAUUAAUACAACAACAACAAAAAGUUGACCAUAUUUCUUAGGUUGAAAAUCUCU